rnacentral:snoRNA from 2 species
GGUAUCAGAUGAUGAAAACUCGAAACAAUCUUAGGACACCUUCUGACACAGCAUCGUGCUGUGAAUGAGAAGGCAAUUCUUUUCUGAUGAUGCU